rnacentral:lncRNA from 1 species
AAAAGUGAAAGAGUAUUCAGGGCAAAUGGUAGAGGAGUGUGGAACACUAGUGCAGAAUGUGGUACAACAAAUAGAUAGAGGAGCAGUAGUAGUAUAUGAUGCAGUUGUGAAGGCUGUUACUGGAGUAGGGACUGCCUGUGAUGAUGCACCUGCAAGUGAUCGAAAUAGUGAGCAAUUAGGGGAAGAACAAACUGAAGAUACAAGUAAUAUGCUGGAGGGUGAAAUGAAAGCAAUUGUAUCUGUAUAAGACAUGAAAAUGGCAACAUACUAGGAACCUUUGCAGAUGGUGGCGGAAGGUGAGGUGCAGAUCCAAUUCCAGCAGAACUAAGAGGUGCAAGAGUGCACAAAUGCAAGUAUUACAAAUUUCAAUACUAGCAAAUCAACACCAAUGGAAGCUCUGCAUGCUUUGGUGUCUCAUAAGGUGGAGCAACUACAAACCAAAGACCAAAAUAAGGAAAAUCAAGAGCAUGAAGUAGGAGACGGUGAAUACCUAAAAGAUAUUGAAGAGGGGGAAAAUGACUCUAACUUGGUUCAAGUAUGCAAAGGGGCAGGCUUAUCACAUAAGUUAUGCACAAAAGGAAGAAAAGGUAAAGUUAAAGGAGACAGUAAUUGUAUUUUGCCUACAAGGGUUCAAGCUAGGAAGGUUGCCAAAAUAGUUUCUAAAUGAAGUACAAAGCUUUAUUUUGGAAUAUUAGGUCUGUUAAUACUCUACAAGCAUUUCACAGAGUUCAAAUGCUCCACAAACAUCAUAAGUUUUUGUUGAGGGCAUUAAUGGAGCCAUUUCAAAAUUCUAGGCAUAUUCAGAGAUACAAAAGAAGAUUGGGGAUGCACUACGUCAACUACAAUGUGAAUGGUCAAAUUUGGGUGUUUGUGAAGCAACACGUUCAUGUAGGAGUUAUAGCUGACUCGGAGCAACAGUUAACUUUACAACUCACUCUGGAAAAUGGGGAGCAACUUUUGGUAUCUGUUGUAUAUGCAAAAUGUUCUGCUAUUGAGAGACUUUCUCUCUGGGAUGAGAUAUUCACAAUAAGCCAAGAAUAUGUUGUCCCCUGGAUGAUCGGGGGUGAUUUUAAUGUGAUAUUGCGUGAAGAAGAAAAGAUUGGUGGUUUACCAGUAUAUCCCCAGGAGUAUGAAGAUUUUGCUGAAUGUUUAAAUGCAAGUGGUUUGGCUGAUAUUACUUUCUCAGGAAACCCUUUCACCUGGUGGAAUGGUAGGGUAGAUGGGGAAUGCAUUUUUAAGAGAUUGGAUAGGGUAGUGGUGAAUAAUUAUUUCUGGAUUCAUAUGGCAAUUCAUGGGUACAACAUUUGGCUAGGACUGGGUCUGAUCAUGCCCCACUCCUGCUUACUUGUGGAGCCAGUAAAGGUACUAUUGUCAAACCUUUUAGGUUUCUCAAGUUUUGGACUGAAAGAGAGGAUUUUAAAGAAGUGGUGGAGCAGAACUGGGUGGCUGAGAGUUCAGAUGAUAUUUUUGUACAGCUUAAGCAGAAACAGAAGAGGACCAAGAAGGCUUUAGCCAAGUGGAGUAAAGAAAAAUUUGGGGAUAUUUUUUAACAAUUAGCAAUUAGAGAAGAGAUUGUGAAAUUGAAGAAGCAACUAUUUCUUGACGAUCCAUCACCCGCUAAUAGAAGUAUUCUUCAGAAGGCUUAUGCAGAGCUGAAGGUUUAUUUACACUUUGAAGAAGUGUUCUGGAGACAAAAAGCUAGUGUGCAGUGGUUUGAGGAAGGGGACAGGAACACUAAAUUUUUUUCACAGUUUAGUGAGAGGAAGAAGAAAGAGGCUUACAUGAGGAGAAUAAUUAAAUCUGAUAGCUCAUGGGAUGAAUCAAAAAAUGCGAUUGCAGAAGAAGGGGUUAAUUUUUUACCAAAUAAUUUACUGCAGGGGUUAAUCAUUCUGACCUAUCUCUACUAAUGCAUAUUAAUCCUAUAAUCUCACAAAAGGAAAAUGAUAUAUUGACCAAGUUACCUGAUGAGGCUGAGAUCAAGAGGUUAGUAUUUGAGUUAAAUGCAGAAAGCUCUUGUGGACCAGAUGAUUUUUCUGGUUGUUUUUAUCAAAACUGUUGGGACACUGUUGGUUUAGAUGUGAUAAAAGUAGUUUCAGGCUUUCUUCAAAGGAGCUACUUUACCUAAGUCUAUUACUCAUACUAACUUGGUGCUAUUACCUAAAAAGGAUUUUCCUCAAUCCUUUUCUGAUCUUAGACCUAUUAGCUUGAGUAAUUUCCUUAAUAAAAUCAUAUCUAGAUUGGUGCAUGAUAGAAUGGAGGUGUUGUUUCCUAGAUUGAUAUCCCAGAAUCAAUCUGAAUUUGUCAAAGGAAGAAAUAUUAAUGAAAAUGUAUUGAUGGCUCAAGAAUUUGUUACUGAUAUUAGGUUGAGGGGCAAACCAGAUAAUGUGAUUAUCAAGCUUGACAUGGCAAAGGCGUAUGACAAGGUUGAUUGGAGAUUUUUGAUUAAAGUAAUGGAAAAAAUGGGUUUUAAUUCUAUGAUGCUUGACAUGAUUUGGAGAAUUAUUGCUAAUAAUUGGUACUUUGUAUUGAUUAAUUGUCAAGCACAUGAUUUUUUCCAUUCAUCAAGAGGGGUUAAACAAGGAGAUCCUUUGUCUCCUGCUUUGUUUAUACUUACUGUUGAGGUAUUAACGAGAACUCUAAAUCAUCUAUUCCUAGAAGAGGAAUAUAAAGGAUAUGGCCUUUCUAAAUGGAGUGAACAGUUGAAUCACUUAUCUUAUGCUGAUGAUACAAUUAUUUUUGCCUCUACUGAUAGGAGUUCUCUCCAGUUGAUAAUGCACACAUUGAAAAUGUAUGAACAUCAAUCAGGACAACUUAUAAACAAAGAAAAAAGUGUAUUUUACUUGUUUAACAAAGUUGCUCUUAACUCUGUUCAAAUGGCGGAGGAAAUCACAGGUUUCUGCAAAUGGAGUUUUCCUUUAACUUAUUUGGGUUGUCCUAUUGGUCAUGCUAAGAAGAAGAAGAUUCAUUUCAAAGAGCUCAUCAAGAAGAUUCAAAAUAAACUCGAAAUGUGGAAAGGGAAACUUCUAUCUUAUGGGGGCAAAUCAGUGUUGAUUAACCACGUAUUGCAGAGUAUUCCUAUCUGCCUCCUCUCAGCUAUCACGCCUCCUAAAUGUGUCAUUGAUGAUAUUCAUAAGAUUUUUGCAAAAUUCUUGUGGAAUUCUAAAGAACAAGGAAUAGCCACUCAUUGGGUAGCAUGGGGGGGAUAUUUGUCUGCCCAAGGAGGAAGGAGGUUUAGGUUUUAGAUCUUUAUUUGAUGUCUCCAAAUCUUUACUUGCCAAGUUGUGGUGGAAUUUUAGAACCAAAAAUACCAUGUGGACAAAUUUUAUGUGGAAUAAGUAUUGUAAAAGACAAAGGCCACAAUUGGUGGACUGGAAAAAAGGAUCUCAAGUUUGGAAAGCUAUGUUACAAGCUAGGGAUUUCUUUGAUCAAGAGAUCUGGUGGGAACCUAGAGAAUGACAUACUAGUGUGUGGUUUAAUAACUGGACACAACUGGGUGCUUUGCAUUUUUUGAUGCUUAUAUCACAUAACCAAAGUCAACUGGAAGAUGUCAAGGAACUAUAUGUUGAAGAUGGAUGGAAGAUUAAUGCACUGGAAAGUAAUUUCAAUGAGGAUAUAUGCAAUCACAUAUGCAAUACCUUAGGAAGCUUUACUAAUACUGAAGGAAGAGAUAAAGCAUGGUGAAUGACUAGUAGUGAUGGUAAAUUCAAAAUUAGCUCAGCCUGGGAAUUAUGCAGAAGUAGAGGAGAGUAUAUAGAAAAUAUCUCCAAUAUUUGGGAGAAAGGUUUGCAUUUUAAGGUAUCCUUUUUUAUGUGGAGAUUAUGGUUUAGAAGGAUUCCUAUUGGGGAGGUCUUAAUUAGAAGGAACAUAGUUGAGAGGGUUGAUUGUAGCUGCUGCAAUAAUAGUGCUCCUGAAACUUUCUCUCAUCUAUUUGUCUAUUGUCCUAGUGCUCAAUCUGUUUGGAAAACUUUUAGAAAUGCUGCAGGGUUAUCAUUUCCAAUUAAUCAGCUUCAACAGAUUAUGGAAGAUUGGUGGAAAGCUGAUGGUACGUAGUCCUAAAUUGAAGCAAUUGUUUAAAGUAGUUCCUGCUUUCAUAACUUGGGAAAUUUGGAAGAGGGGGAAUGUGAUGAAGCAUGGUGGAAAUAUGUCAACAACCUCAAUGAUUGUAGAGAUACAUAGAAACAUCUACUUAUUUACUAAGAGUUGAUAUCCAUGGUUAAAGAAUGUCCCUCAAAACUGGCCCUUAAUUGUCAAAUAUUUUGAAGGAUAAGCUCCAUUGACAAAAACUAUGGUGGUGAGAGUCAUCCCCUCAUGGGAGUAUAUAAAUGCAAUACUGAUGCUUCUUAUCAGCUUGAAUCAAGAGUUGGGUGUAUAGCCUUUUGUAUUAGAGAUAUACAAGGAGAUUUGAAAUAUGCAGAAUCUAGAAGAAUUAAUACUACAUCUAUUUUGGAGGCAGAGGUCAUGGCAAUUAAGGAAGGGUUACAGUACUGCAAUCAAGGAAAUUUCCUUCCCUUGAUAAUUGAGCCAGACUCACUGGUGGCUCAAAAAGUUAUACAUGGAGUAUGGGAGGUCCCAUGGCAGAUAGCUUGGGAUAUCAAACACAUUCAGACAAUGAUAAAGAGUCAUGGGGUGGAGGUGGUUCACGUCCUCAGAGAAGGGAAUAGCCUCGCUGAUGCUUUAACUAAGUCGUUUGCUCAUUUUGCAGGUACAGAGAUACAACAAUAUCGAAAUAUGCAGGAACUACCACAACAUGCCAAAGCUAUUUUGCAACAAGACAAAGAAAAGACUCCUAAUUUGAGGAUCCGAAAAGUUCAAAACAAACAUUAUAAUGGUGCUUAAAAAAGAAAAAAAGAAGAAAAAGGAGCACCACAUCAGUUCAAAGCAAAUCAGGAGAGGACUAAAAUAAGAAGGUGAAAGAUUACCUUAGUCUCCUGGAAAAGGGUGAGCGAUGCAAGGUCGGAGAUUAGUCGACUUAAACAGUGGUAUUAAUCUCGGUGGGGUUCAACCUGUUGAGGAGAAUAAUCAAGGACCGAGUAUCAAAACAUAUCUCAAAGAUGAGUAAUUAAAUUAUAAAGGUAAAACUUAUCUCAAUAGCUCUUGUCUUCAAAUCUGGAUGGUGACUGAAGUGUGUCCCCAAAAUUCUUGCGCAUAACUUGAGAUCUAGCUCAGAUCGAUAAAAUUCAGGUAGAAGAAGUCUUCAAAGGUAUUUGAAUCAUUAUAUCAGUGAGAUUUGUUGAUGUGGAAGUGAUUGCAACCCAUACCUGGAUCGAUAUCGAACAGAGCUCAUAUCAAGAGGAGGUGAGUAUUUGGAAGGAUUGAUCGUCACUUUGGGAGGAUUCUCCGGCGACUGUCACAUCGGAGAAGCUGAAUUUUUUUCCAAACAUUAGAGUUUAUUUCCUUUUCUGUUAGUUUGGUUUCUUCUUCCUGUAGUUUACUUUGUUUUGUUGUUUCCGAUCGGGCCACUUUUGGACCCAAUUGGUAUUGAAUUUAUGUUUUUUAAUAAAGUUGUGG